UGAAAUUCAAAGAAUAAAAACUUUAUUUUGAGAGGGAGACAACAUCAUAAACACUGGGAAAAGCUAGCAUAACAAUUCAUUCAUUCAUAAGCAUAGACAUACCACCUGUACCUCUUUGCAUUACAUACUAUUAAAUAGACUAUCAGUUAUCAGACUUUUUUGUAAUUUAUCCAAAACUUGCAAGUUUAAUUCAAAUUCAAAAAAUUUAAAUUGAAAAAGAGAGUAACACACCAAAUUAAAUUAAUAAAUAAUAGAAUAUAUAAUAUGCCUAUAGUCAAUUAGGCCAAGCUAAAAUCACUCAAAUCAGAUAAAUUGAUAAAAACAGAAGAAGAAAAAACAAUGCUGAACGUGUAGGCCUACUGUACGAGGGUGUGUGUGGGCGUAGUGAGCAGGUUUUAAAACAGCUUUGGACUGGAAAGUUUUGCUGGACCUGGCAACCCUGAUCACUGUGACCACACAGUCAGCUGUCCAGCACUUGAUCGUCGUGACUGAGAGUAACAAGUAACAUGGAUCGCUGGAAAGGCAGGGUUGCUCUUGUCACUGGAGCUUCAGUGGGAAUCGGAGCAGCAAUCGCAAAGUCUCUUGUCCAGCAUGGCAUGAAGGUGGUCGGCUGUGCCAGAAAUGUGGAGCAAAUUCAGAAACUGUCUUCAGAAUGUGUCAGUAGUGGAUUCAGCGGCACUCUGAUCCCAUACAAAUGUGAUCUGUCUGUAGAGGACGACAUGUUAUCCAUGUUCUCCUGGAUCAAAGUUCAACACCAAGGCGUUGAUGUGUGCAUUAAUAAUGCUGGUUUGGCUCUCCCAGAGCCUCUGUUGAGCGGCAAAACCAGUGGCUGGAAGACUAUGAUGGACGUGAAUGUCAUUGGCCUGUCAGUGUGCACCCGUGAGGCUUACCAGUCCAUGAAAGAAAGAAAUAUUGAUGAUGGUCAUAUCAUUAAUAUUAACAGCAUGAGUGGACACCGGGUCGUCAACAGUGCUGAUGCACACUUCUACACUGCCAGCAAAUAUGCAGUGACGGCUCUCACAGAAGGUUUGAGGCAAGAGUUACGAGAGGCCAAAACCCACAUACGUGCCACAGUAAGAGCAGGAGGAUCAAGAUGUGCAUCUGUUGAACACUUUAUUUAUUGGAGACAGAAUUUGCCUACCGACUCUUUAGCGAAAACCCAGAAAAGGCUGCUGCUACUUAUAAAAGUAUAAAGUGCCUACAAGCAGCUGACAUCGCAAACGCAGUGGUGUAUGUCCUGAGUGCUCCUCCUCAUGUUCAAAUUGGUGACAUUCAGAUGAGGCCCGUGGAGCAGCUGACAUAAACUGGACCGAGAAACAGGAUGAAGCAUUUCUGACAUCUUAAUAGCUCAUGAAUGGUAUAAUAUGAAAUGCAGAGCUGACAAAUCCACAAGAAUGUGCCAUAAACUAUUUAUGCACGCCAAAUCUUUGAAAUGCAAAUAGCAAGAACACAGAACACUGCUGUCUGAUCAUGACGUUUACAUUUUUAUAAUUACUAUAAUGACUAUUAUUGUACAUGUUGUAAAAAAAUACCAAAUUAGUAUUAAAGAAAUAAUUUAAUAAGCACCAAUGGUACUUUGCAUGAAGUAUUGAGGCAGAAUCAGUGUAAUUUAUUUUGCUUGGCAUCAUAAUGAUUGAGUGAUUGAAUGAACAUUUUCAGAUAAACAAAUAUUUUGAGUUAUGUUAAGGAAAUUUGAUACUUCUUUAUUAGUUUCUCUUCAGUGCUGUGCCUGCAGUUGUAAUGUACUGUAAUGUUUUUAAAUGAGGUAUUAACUAAUAAAAAGAGGGAAUUGUG